UCCAGCAGCCGCGGUAAUACGUAGGUGGCAAGCGUUGUCCGGAUUUAUUGGGCGUAAAGCGAGCGCAGGCGGUUUUUUAAGUCUGAUGUGAAAGCCUUCGGCUCAACCGAAGAAGUGCAUCGGAAACUGGGAAACUUGAGUGCAGAAGAGGACAGUGGAACUCCAUGUGUAGCGGUGAAAUGCGUAGAUAUAUGGAAGAACACCAGUGGCGAAGGCGGCUGUCUGGUCUGUAACUGACGCUGAGGCUCGAAAGUAUGGGUAGCAAACAGGAUUAGAUACCCUGGUAGUCCAUACCGUAAACGAUGAAUGCUAAGUGUUGGAGGGUUUCCGCCCUUCAGUGCUGCAGCUAACGCAUUAAGCAUUCCGCCUGGGGAGUACGGCCGCAAGGCUGAAACUCAAAGGAAUUGACGGGGGCCCGCACAAGCGGUGGAGCAUGUGGUUUAAUUCGAAGCUACGCGAAGAACCUUACCAGGUCUUGACAUACUAUGCAAAUCUAAGAGAUUAGACGUUCCCUUCGGGGACAUGGAUACAGGUGGUGCAUGGUUGUCGUCAGCUCGUGUCGUGAGAUGUUGGGUUAAGUCCCGCAACGAGCGCAACCCUUAUUAUCAGUUGCCAGCAUUAAGUUGGGCACUCUGGUGAGACUGCCGGUGACAAACCGGAGGAAGGUGGGGAUGACGUCAAAUCAUCAUGCCCCUUAUGACCUGGGCUACACACGUGCUACAAUGGAUGGUACAACGAGUUGCGAACUCGCGAGAGUAAGCUAAUCUCUUAAAGCCAUUCUCAGUUCGGAUUGUAGGCUGCAACUCGCCUACAUGAAGUCGGAAUCGCUAGUAAUCGCGGAUCAGCAUGCCGCGGUGAAUACGUUCCCGGGCCUUGUACACACCGCCCGUCACACCAUGAGAGUUUGUAACACCCAAAGUCGGUGGGGUAACCUUUUAGGAACCAGCCGCCUAAGGUGGGACAGAUGAUUAGGGUGAAGUCGUA
rnacentral:rRNA from 2 species